UACGAAGGGUGCAAACGUUGCUCGGAAUUAUUGGGCGUAAAGCGCACGUAGGCGGCUUGGCAAGUCUGAUGUGAAAUCCCUCGGCUCAACCAAGGAAGUGCAUCCGAAACUGCUGAGCUUGAGUACUUAAGAGGAUCGCGGAAUUCCCGGUGUAGAGGUGAAAUUCGUAGAUAUCGGGAGGAACACCAGUGGCGAAGGCGGCGAGCUGGGAAGAUACUGACGCUGAGGUGCGAAAGCGUGGGGAGCAAACAGG
rnacentral:rRNA from 1 species